rnacentral:rRNA from 1 species
GUCAUCUAAUUAGUGACGCGCAUGAAUGGAUUAACGAGAUUCCUACUGUCCCUAUCUACUAUCUAGCGAAACCACAGCCAAGGGAACGGGCUUGGAAUAAUUAGCGGGGAAAGAAGACCCUGUUGAGCUUGACUCUAGUCUGGCAGUGUAAGGAGACAUAAGAGGUGUAGCAUAAGUGGGAGAUAUAUUAGUUUCGGCUAAUUAUAUCAAAAAUGAAAUACCACUACUCUUAUUGUUUCCUUACUUACUUGAUAAAAUGGAACGUGUAUCAUUCACUUAGCCAUUACACGGAUAUAUUUAUAUAUUUUAUGGUAUUUUGUUUUGAUGCGAGCUUCUUGUUUAAAGUACCAAGAGUUUGUUAUAUACACCAAACAAAUAUCAAUUAAAUUUGCUUUCCAUUAAUAAUGGUUUGUUAAAUAUUAAUUGAAUUUGGUAUAACUAUUAUACUCAGGUAUAAUCCAAUUCAAGGACAUUGCCAGGUGGGGAGUUUGACUGGGGCGGUACAUCUCUCAAAUAAUAACGGAGGUGUCCCAAGGCCAGCUCAGUGCGGACAGAAACCACACAUAGAGCAAAAGGGCAAAUGCUGACUUGAUCUCGGUGUUCAGUACAUACAGAGACAGCAAAAGCUCGGCCUAUCGAUCCUUUUGGUUUAAAGAGUU